CCCGCAAUUCACAGCGGUCUCCGACAAAAUGGCGCCGCCGCAGUGACUGACCAAACUAGUGCGGAACUGCGGAAGCAUAGAAGGGUGACAUCAUCAGUCGGCGCCAAGCUGUAGACAUGGAGACGGGGAGAGGACAGGGCUCUGAGCCGAAAUAUGCACAGAGGAUCGACCCCAAAACGCUGACCCCGGAGCAGCUGGAGCACAUGAGACGAAUAGAGAUGGCUCAGUGGGCAAAGAGGUCGGGGAAUCUGAAAGGCAGAAAUAUAAUUACUGGUCUGGCCAUAGGCGGCCUCGUGCUUGGGAUCUAUGGUUACACCUUUUUCUCUGUAUCACAAGAAAAAUUUCUAGAUGAACUAGAAGAGGAAGCAAAAUUGGCCCGAGCAAGAUAUCCAAAAACAUCUGGCAAUUAAAUAAGCCGAUUGAAGAUUUUUGGGGAAUUCUUAUGAUGCAUGGAUACCACCUUUUAAUGCCACCAUGGAGCCAAAGCAUUUUGCCUAUCUUGUCCUAUAAAACUCCCAUGUCAGAGAUCAAAACUAUUUUGUUUGAUAUAUGGAAUGUUUUCUCAGUGACCAUGUUUUCUGUGUCUGUAUAGUAUGUACUUAAAUUUUUAUGAAUAAAAUAUGUACAGAAGUCAUGCUUGUAGUGACCAG